CGUAACGGCGGUACAUGUAUUCCGUUACUCCCCAACACUGUUUAUAAACCAGCGUUAGGACUUUGAAAUAGAUUCUGUCAUGAACAGGAAACCAUUGAAGAGAGUACAGGACAGGUGUUAUAUGUUUGUGCCUGCGGGUAUCAGUCAAGAGGCGGGCAGCAGCAUUUUGAAUGAGCUGAAGAUGUGCAAGAGAUCCUUGGGCUGACUCCAGCAUAAACAGGAGAUUGUAAACAGCUGGAACGGGAGACCGUUUUCUGCUUUGUGUUGCGAGAAGCGCUGCGUUAAUCAACAUCUAUGAACGCGAGAGAUCAGAAAAGGGAGCGUUCUUCCUCGUCCUUCAUCGCUACAACCCACUCGUUCAUUCAGUCACAAAGAGUAUUCAAGGCUCCUUCUGGCAUUGCCACCAUUCAACUUGUGACAAGAUCUGCUGAUUAAUUCACUGGUAACAUCUCACACUCCUGGUAGCGUCUCACUUCUUAUCUGCAUUAGUUUCUGUUUUAGAUUUCAGUCUGUGUUUCUGUGCAGAAGUCCUCAUGCUUUCUUGGUGAUGGUGUGUGUUUGUGCGCCCACAUACCCCCAGCAUUAUCUCUACCAUCUUCUCUAUAAUUCACAGCAACUUCUUCUGUCUCUAAUAAUUUGUGAAUAACCUUUUUGAAGUUUUUACAGUGUUCUGUGUGGGUCUAUCAUUCUGUUGGUCUUAUGACAGAACGAUCUGACCACCAUGGAGCCAUCACCUCAGGACACAAUCACAUCCCUGGGAGAAGAGCUGAAUGAACAAGAAGAUGUCUUUUAUCGCAUCACUUUGAAUCGAGACAUCCUGCUCCAAAACAUAAUAGAAUUUGGUGGAAUAUGCAAUUCACGUGUGCACAAACCCAACCCUUACAUCUGCAUCUGCCCCUCACACCUCUGCUCCAUCUCCUCCAUCCGCUCUAUUGGAGCCUUCUAAGAGAGCACUGCACUCACCUGAACCAGUUCGCCCAUGAGUUGUAAAAAGCCACUGAUUUGACUAAAUGGGGAUGGGUGGUCAUUAAUCCAAAUGAUGUGGCGUCAUAUGCUGAAUUCGUUAACAAUUUUAAAAGUGUGUUUAUUAAAGGAACUAAUUCAGAUGUGAUACUGGCUAAAAGACCGAGUGGGAGGAAAAAGCACCUCAUGGUGCUUUCCUUCAUGACCUGAUAAAGCUGACGAAAUGUGAGUUGGUUGCAAAAGACUUGCCAGUCACCUUUGACCAACUUGUCUCUAUAACUUUAGUCACCAUCCUGUCAAAGUUAGAUCUCCAGAACGUACGUGAUGUGGACACUGAACUCCACCAAGAAAAGUGGUCAUUACUCUUUGCAUGAUUCAGUUCUCUCUCCUACCAGUUUGCAGUCUCAGAUCCCCCCACAGGAGAUGAAUCAAUCCUCCCAGCGUUUUAUCGCUGGGCCUCAGCCAGAGCCAGACUCCGGCAUCUGUCAGAUCUCAGGUACUGCAUUGGGUAAACAAAGUUAAAUUCACCUGUCACCCUGGAGUUCAAAGAACAGUAAGCUUUCAUCAAAGACUGUGCAUCAGUUGCUAUUUUGAAUUUUAACCUGUGUUUCUGUGCAAAUCCAGCAACAAUUCCCUGUGUGUGUGCUCACUGACCGCCAGAAUGAUCUACACCACCUUCCACAGAGCAACCUUCUCUGUUUCUAACAAUCUGUAAAUAAACCUCCUGCACUUUUCACAGCGUUCUGCACGCGGGUUUAUCAUUCUCUUGGUUUCAUGACAAGAACACUAACUAUGCGCUCUUCUGUGAUUAAUUUAAAAACCAUUUAAAUUACCAAAAGGGUUUUCUACGGUGACCCUGAGAGGAUAAUGGGCAGCAACUUAA